UACGUAGGGUGCAAGCGUUGUCCGGAAUUAUUGGGCGUAAAGAGCUCGUAGGCGGUUUGUCGCGUCUGCUGUGAAAACUCGGGGCUUAACCCCGGGCCUGCAGUGGGUACGGGCAGACUAGAGUGCGGUAGGGGAGACUGGAAUUCCUGGUGUAGCGGUGAAAUGCGCAGAUAUCAGGAGAAACACCGGUGGCGAAGGCGGGUCUCUGGGCCGUAACUGACGCUGAGGAGCGAAAGCAUGGGGAGCGAACAGG
rnacentral:rRNA from 1 species